CACAUCACCAGCUAAUGUUAGAGAGCCAUGUAGGAAGCAGCAAUCAGAGGAGUUUGUGAUUGGUGGACUCCUCCUGCCUCUUUUCUAUCUACAGUGUGAAACCUCUUGAGCGUCUUCUCUCAGAGAAGGCAGCUCCCCUUGCAAAAAGUUCCAUCCAUCAGAGCUCUGAGACAGCUUCACCAUGAAGGCCAUCCUGAUCAUUGGUAUUGUGCUACUGAUGAAUCUGACUCUGGCUGUUGCCAGUGAGGGUCAGGAAGCAGCAGACGCUCCCCAAACCACAACUACUGUUGCUCCAAAAACUAACAGAGCCAUGUCCCUCAAUGGCCCAGCUUGCUUUCUGCUACCACUCCUGAUGGUUGUGAUCCAUCUCCUCCGAGUAUACUGAGCCUGGAGAGUCACUCCUAUGAGGGUAUUCCUUGGAGGGCAAAUUCAUCUCUUAUCUGCCUUUAGGGAAACCUUCCCUCCGCCGAUGAUCCAGCCAGCGCCUAUGCUCUAGCUACAACCAACCCACAAUUUUGGGCCAUGCACCAAUAUUCAUGGUCCAAAGGCUUUUGGCUUCAUCUUCACCACAAUGGCUGCUUUAUUUGCAGAAUGAGAGGCAAACCAGAAGGACUUCUUGAACUUAAUCCAGAUGUGUGGGCUCAUGCUCAGAUGGUCCUCGCAGCAGGCGAUGCAUGCAGGUCUAGAAUGCAUCUUCACAAAGACAUAUCAGAUCCCUGAGAUAGGCUACCCAAGUGUCACCUACUCAUGUGCACUAAUUAACAAGAGGCACAAAUCCACUGGGAUUUUGCUGUGGCAGGCCCUCCAGGAAGAAACAGGAGUUGUGCAUAAGCACUGCAAGGCUCCUGUUUAUUUCUGUCAGGAAACCGUCCUGAGGCAUCGUGGCUCAGAUCUGCCUCCUAGACUGCCACCCUCAAUGGACAUCCUAAAUCUGUCAACCAAGGUCCCAGAAGAUGACCAUCCACCUCUUGUUUAUGUAAGCCUUUCAGUUAAUGCCAUGCUAUCCUGUGUGAAGCAUCCCACCCACCCACCCAACUUCAGGAGUCAUUUGAGGUCGCAUCCAGGUCUUCAUUAGGUCGCCUCUUGAUUGGCAGCAAAUUCAGGUGUGGAAUGUCAACCCUUUGAAGUGGCAAACCUCAAGAAGUCGGCUGAAGAUGGUCCAGGAAGAUAAAACCAUGCAAGAUAAAAAGCAGUGUUUGCAAAUGUUCUGCCUUUGUUUUCUGUAAUCCCCCAAGCAGGGUGGGUCAAUGAAUGAAAUAAAAGCUUCUUGGCUGGAAAGC